GGAAUUCCACGUGUAGCGGUGAAAUGCGUAGAGAUGUGGAGGAACACCAGUGGCGAAGGCGACUCUCUGGUCUGUAACUGACGCUGAGGAGCGAAAGCGUGGGGAGCGAACAGGAUUAGAUACCCUGGUAGUCCACGCCGUAAACGAUGAGUGCUAAGUGUUAGGGGGUUUCCGCCCCUUAGUGCUGCAGCUAACGCAUUAAGCACUCCGCCUGGGGAGUACGGUCGCAAGACUGAAACUCAAAGGAAUUGACGGGGGCCCGCACAAGCGGUGGAGCAUGUGGUUUAAUUCGAAGCAACGCGAAGAACCUUACCAGGUCUUGACAUCCUCUGACAACCCUAGAGAUAGGGCUUUCCCUUCGGGGACAGAGUGACAGGUGGUGCAUGGUUGUCGUCAGCUCGUGUCGUGAGAUGUUGGGUUAAGUCCCGCAACGAGCGCAACCCUUGAUCUUAGUUGCCAGCAUUCAGUUGGGCACUCUAAGGUGACUGCCGGUGACAAACCGGAGGAAGGUGGGGAUGACGUCAAAUCAUCAUGCCCCUUAUGACCUGGGCUACACACGUGCUACAAUGGACAGAACAAAGGGCUGCGAGACCGCAAGGUUUAGCCAAUCCCACAAAUCUGUUCUCAGUUCGGAUCGCAGUCUGCAACUCGACUGCGUGAAGCUGGAAUCGCUAGUAAUCGCGGAUCAGCAUGCCGCGGUG
rnacentral:rRNA from 2 species